GAUGAACGCUGGCGGCAUGCCUAACACAUGCAAGUCGUACGCGUCCUUCGGGACGAGUGGCGGACGGCUGAGUAACGCGUGGGAACGCACCCUACACUGAGGGAUAACGCACCGAAAGGUGUGCUAAUACCGCAUACGGUCUUCGGAUUAAAGUUUUAACGGUGAAGGAGUGGCCCGCGUACUAUUAGGUAGUUGGUGAGGUAAUAGCUCACCAAGCCGAUGAUGGUUAGCUGGUCUGAGAGGAUGAUCAGCCAGACUGGAACUGAGAACGGUCCAGACUCCUACGGGAGGCAGCAGUGAGGAAUAUUCCACAAUGGGCGAAAGCCUGAUGGGGCAAUGCCGCGUGCAGGAUGAAGGCCCUAGGGUUGUAAACUGCUUUUAUAUGAGAAGAAUUAAGACGGUAACAUAUGAAUAAGGACCGGCUAACUGCGUGCCAGCCGCCGCGGUAAGAC
rnacentral:rRNA from 1 species